rnacentral:lncRNA from 1 species
GGGUUGAUCCUAUAAAAAAGAAUGGAACUCCUUUAGCUUUGGAAGAAUGACAAUUGGAACAUGCACAGCCGCCAUGUAGUAAAUUAGGAUAAAAGCUAAGAUCGACUGAAAAAGGGUCACACUUCCUGCAAAGGCUAAUGGUUUCCACUUCCAAUGGUCAAUAUUGGAGUUUACCUUUUCAAUCAAAAUUCUAAACUCCCUUGGCUGUAAUGGCAUGCCAGAAAUAAGCACACCCAGGUAAUUCCAAGAACCCUUUUUCUCUCUGACUUGAAACAAAUUAUGGAUAAUAUGUUUAAUAGAUGUAGGAGUAGCUGAGUUGAAUAUGACAUGAGAUCUACUAUAAUUAACUAUUUAGCCCGACAAAGAGCAAUAAGAAUCGAUAAUAGCAUGAAUGCAGAUAGCAUGCCAAAUCUUAGCUGUUGAAACAAGAAUGUAAUCAUCAGCAAAGAGGAUAUAGGAUAUUGAUGGGCCACCACUUGAUCUAUAAGCUUUCAGCAUUUGAUUUUGGACAGCAUAUUGCAAGAUUCUAGAGAAAAUCUGAGAACAUAAGAUAAAAAGGUAGGG